ACUACAAAACUGUUUGUUCACUGUUGGGUUUAACACUUAAGAAACCAACGUCUAGAAGGAUAAGUGAGCUGAUUAACUAUUUAAAUCAAACCCAGUUAAAAUGAUAAACAAAGAAGCUCAGAGCUUAGUGAUGAACUAUGUUAUCCUGAUACUUUUACUCUUGAUUCUGUGGAUUCUUUACCAGGGGAUGUAAGAAGACUGGGAAACAAAUGCACUGAACAAUCGUGACAAACCAUCAAGAGGAGCCCAUAGUGCCAUCUGGUGGAACUAAGAAAUAAUGUGACUUUUUGGCAGACAGGAGUUAUUCUAUAUCUCAAAUAAUAGUUUACCCAAUAUGAAAUGAUGAAAGUUAUUAUUCAGAGCUUUAUCUUUGAGACCUGGAUUUUUUUUUCUUAAAUGCUAACUCUGAAACAGUACAUUAAGCCGAUUUGUUUUCCUCAUAUGUAAACCUAAAUUAAUAUGGGUUCCUCUUAUGCAUACAAAUUUCUGUGUACGAGUGUUGCUAUAAUCAUAUCUUAGAAAUUGAUACCACCUGCAAUCUGAGACAUACUUGGCUUCAAGAAAUGAAGAUGGUAAUUUGUGUAAGACCUUAAUCUAUAGUUAUGCUAUAUAGUUUUGUUACUUUGAUAUACACGUUUCAAAACUAUUCGUUUUUUUAUGUUUACAUAAAAGCAUUUGUUUUUCUAAUUUUUAUAACUUCAGGCUUUGCGUGAACAUCAAAUAUACUUGAUAAGUACUUCAAUUUAGAAACUAAAUAUUGGAAGAAAACUGCUUAAAAUGUGCAUUUUAUUAAUCGUAACUUUAUGUAACAUACUACCAAGUCUGCAGAAAAACAGCUGUCAAUCUUAACCAUAACUCAAAAGGUUCUCCGAAUGUUUCCUAAAAAUAGAAAUUUCAAAUAUUUUUUACUAGUUGGUGUUCAUUAUUUCAGAAGAAUGAUGUAAUACAAUGUGUUUAUAUUUAACUUAUUUUAAUAUAACUUAUAACCGUUUUAUUUGAUAGUUUUACUAACCAAAGAAGAUUAGGGCAGUUUUUAAGCACUUUCUUUUGUGGCGUAAUAAUUUUUGAGCUUAAUAUUUUUCUACAGCAGAGAUGUCUCUCUGUGUGUGUAUGUUAUUGUUGCAUAUAUUUAUUUAUUAACGAGUAUUUUCAGACCUAAACCCGUGUUUUUUAAUGCUAUAACUUCCAUGUUAUUAGUAUGUAAUUGUAUUUUACCUUUAGCGAUAGUACAUCAACUUAAAGGAUAUCACAGAAAGCUAAAUUGUAGAAAAAGUUUGUUUUACUGGUAUAAGAGAAAUGAUAAUAAUAAAGAAAUAUUUGG